CUGGGAUAACUCCGGGAAACCGGGGCUAAUACCGGAUAACAUUUUGAACCGCAUGGUUCGAAAUUGAAAGGCGGCUUCGGCUGUCACUUAUGGAUGGACCCGCGUCGCAUUAUCUAGUUGGUGAGGUAACGGCUCACCAAGGCAACGAUGCGUAGCCAACCUGAGAGGGUGAUCGGCCACACUGGGACUGACACACGGCCCAGACUCCUACGGGAGGCAGCAGUAGGGAAUCUUCCGCAAUGGACGAAAGUCUGACGGAGCAACGCCGCGUGAGUGAUGAAGGCUUUCGGGUCGUAAAACUCUGUUGUUAGGGAAAAACAAGUGCUAGUUGAAUAAGCUGGCACCUUGACGGUACCUAACCAAAAAGCCACGGCUAACUACGUGCCAGCAGCCGCGGUAAUACGUAGGUGGCAAGCGUUAUCCGGAAUUAUUGGGCGUAAAGCGCGCGCAGGUGGUUUCUUAAGUCUGAUGUGAAAGCCCACGGCUCACCCGUGGAGGGUCAUUGGAAACUGGGAGACUUGAGUGCAGAAGAGGAGAGUGGAAUUCCGUGUGUAGCGGUGAAAUGCGUAGAGAUAUGGAGGAACACCAGUGGCGAAGGCGACUUUCUGGUCUGUAACUGACACUGAGGCGCGAAAGCGUGGGGA
rnacentral:rRNA from 1 species